GCGUACGGAUUAGGAUUAGGGGACGGGUGAGGGUCAGGCUUCGGGGAAGGGUUAGGGUUAGGGUUCGGGCUAGGGUUAGGGUUAGGGGACUGGGACGGUUUAGGGUCCAGGUGAGGGUACGGCAACGCUUUAGGGGGAGCGUACGUGUGAGGGCGCGGGUGAGUGUCAGCGUACGGGUUAGGAUUAGGGGACGGCUGAGGGUCAGGCUUCGGGGAAGGGUU